rnacentral:rRNA from 1 species
AGCGAACGCUGGCGGCAGGCCUAACACAUGCAAGUCGAACGGACCCUUCGGGGUUAGUGGCGGACGGGUGAGUAACACGUGGGAACGUGCCCUUUGGUACGGAACAACUCAGGGAAACUUGAGCUAAUACCGUAUAAGCCCUACUGGGGAAAGAUUUAUCGCUUGAAGAGGAGCUUGCGGCAGAUUAGCUUGUUGGUAAGGUAACGGCUUACCAAGGCUACGAUCUGUAUCCGGUCUAAGAGGACGGUCGGACACACUGACACUGAAUAACGGGUCAGACUCCUACGGGAGGCAGCAGUCGGGAAUUUUGGGCAAUGGGGGAAACCCUGACCAGCAACGCCGCGUGAAGGAUGAAGUAUUUCGGUAUGUAAACUUCGAAAGAAUAGGAAGAAUUAAUGACGGUACUAUUUAUAAGGUCCGGCUAACUACGUGCCAGCAGCCGCGGUAAU